GGGAAUGAUCAGCAGUGGAAUAUCUGCUUUGUAUGCAGAAGGCUCCAGGUUCAAUCCCUGGCAUCUCCA
rnacentral:tRNA from 1 species